rnacentral:misc_RNA from 1 species
UCACACGUAGAGCAAGGCACAUAUGUAACAGUACUCCCAGUAUCCACUAUAAGAGCAAACCUCUGGGGUGGAGUUCCAAUCCAAAGACGUGUUGUAUAAUAUCCGUUGAUAAGUAGAUCGUCGUGGAGAGCCAUUUGAGCAUUCACCGGGGAUUUCUGGAGAAGUCGACCAGAGAGUUGGGAAGGAGAGGAACGAACCGAUGUGUCUUUGGGGGGAAAGAGUGGGAGAACCAUGGCAGUGCGAUGACUGGUAUCCGAAAAGUGCAAACAUGAAACGACAUCGUAAUCGACCAGUGUAAAUAUAAUGCAGAGUAUGGUGAAAGUAGCGGUGAACGAUGCCGGUUUCAUUGCAGGACAACUAUUGCCGCCAGAUAUCUCCUAUGAAAUGUGAGAUCGCCAGAGAUUAAGAAAAAUGACAAGAUUCGGUCGGUAACAAGGCCCGCCGGAAGGUCGGCGACACCGGAGGAAAAGGACAGAGUAACGGAAUCUGAUUAAGCAAAGCCGGG